UGGAUUAUAUUAAUAGCACAUCUAGUCAAUCGCUGGCGGGCGAUUGUACGAUAGACAUAUGCUUGUACCAAUGGGCUCUGGAUAAAUUAUAACCGCCUCUUGAAAGAAGCGAAAGCUGAAGCUAAUGAAGACCGAGGAAAGUUUUUCUCCUAACCAAUCGCUUUUUAAAAGUUGGGCUCCUCCCCUUCAACUAGAGGUCUCAUCGGUGGGAGGGGGAAGCGAAAGAUGCUUAGAGUCUUGUUGCCAGGACAACCUUUUGUGAUAGUGACCGGACUUGGGGACUACUUUCCUGGACCUUGUCACUACGGUUUCCCGGGCUUGUGUGCCUUUCCUUCCUAUAAUAGCACCUUUUAGUCCCUCGGCAGGAAAGCUAGAUACACACACAGUCGCUGUUUCCCGUUAGCAGCCUCUGGCCAACUCUGUCCCCCUUCUUUGGGACCGUCCCCAAAUCUCUACACAAAGUCCCUCUGCAUUGGCUAAGGUUAUUAUUUGAUUCAUAGUCUGUCAGCUUCCCCCCACCCCAGUCCUCGGUUAUUCUGAAGGUCAGUGCAGAACAUGGUGAAGCUGGCUGCCAAAUGCAUCGUGGCAGGUGAUCCAGCAGUGGGAAAGAGUGCCUUGGUCCAGAUGUUUUGCAGUGAUGGGGCUCAUUUCCAGAAAAACUACACAUUGACAACAGGAGUGGAACUGCUGGUGAAGACAGUACCUGUUUCAGAAACCAGUGAUAGUGUGGAACUUUUCAUCUUUGACUCAGCAGGCAAGGAACUGUUUGCUGAGAUGCUAGAGAAAUUGUGGGAGCAGCCCAAUGCUGUGUGCAUUGUAUAUGAUGUUACCAAUGAGCAGUCAUUCCAUAACUGUGCCAAAUGGCUAGAGAGGCUGAGAACCCAGACUUCUGGAAUACGUAUCCCAGGUGUGCUAGUGGGCAAUAAGACGGAUUUGAUUAAUAGGCGGGUUGUGGAGCAGAAACAGGCACAAGAGUGGGCAGAGACCAAUGACCUCGAAUACUGUGAGAUAUCAGUUAAAGAGAUGGAAAAUUAUGAAGUCCCUUUUCGCAUUAUGGCCAACUCAUUUCAUCGAUUGUACAAAGAGAAGGUGGAAAUCUUCCACUCGCUUGUACCUCAUAUUGUUUGUUAACCAGAGCCAAGUAUCAUAUGCAGAUUUGAUAAACAUUCCCUCUAUUCCUCCAUCCAAAUCAUUUAUAAAGACGUUGAAGAACUCGGGUCUCAGGACAGAUCCCCCGAGGCACUCCACUUGUCAUUCCUUUCCAAGAGAAUGAGGAACCAGUAACAAGCACUCUCUGGGUAUGACCUGUCAACUAGUUUCAGAUCCACCUAACAGUAAUUGGAUCCAAGCCAUGUUUUACCAAUUUGCCAACAAAAAUAUUGUGUGGAACCUUAUCAGAAACCAUGUCUACAGCUGCAGCAUUCCCCUCAUCCAGCAAGUUGCUGGUGGGAACACAAUUCGUACUUACCAAAGAGCAUGUCCUCCAUCUGCAUCCUUUUGGCUGGUUGACUAAACUUUCUUGGACUGAAAUGGGGCUUAACACAUUGUAAAUCUGCACACUUGAGGUUUCAAAAGCAAUAGCAUUUGGAUUUGGGUACAGUAUGUCAAUGUUUAUAUAUGUGUGUUUUAUUUUGCAGAACAGUCGGUAUAUCAAUAAACAUGUGUCUUUUCUUUGUGGCCA